AUUUCAAGUACAUCAGAGCACAUUCAGAAUCUUUAUUUUUAAUAUUGAGUUUUGGUACAAAUUGGAGGACAUUUUAAUAUGUAUCAGAAUAUUAUGUACCAAUGUUAGGCAAAAUGAAAGAUAAAUCCGAAUUAAUUCAUUCUGCCUAAUUUGCAAAUUCAGAUUGUUCUUUUCUUUUAUUUUUCAAAAGAUAUUCACUAAAACAAAAUGAUGUUGUUGUUAAUAGAAACAUGUUUCAAUCAAAUUAUCUAGGCAUAGAGCAUUACAAAUUAUAUUUGAACAAAAUCCUCAAAUUUUUUUUUUCGAAUAUUGAAAACUCACAAUUCAAAACAUCAUGCUACAUGCGAAAUAUAGUAUGCAUACCAUUAAAGCAUUAAGAACAAGUAUGUCAAGGAUUAAAAUCAAUUCUUUUCAAAUAAAGUUUUUCCUAU
rnacentral:lncRNA from 1 species